UAUACCAUAAUAUACAUAAUUAGAAACAUCAAUUUGCCUACUAUCCCUACAAAAGAUUUUUUUUUCCAUACUGGAAGCAAAUGUUACGAGUCUCAGUGAUGUUGCCCCAGCAGAAUAUAGGAAUCCGCUGAGUCUAAGACAGUGCUCAGAAGAGGGGACUCAAUCAACUUCUGCAAACUCAUGCUGAAACAAGGUAUGUGAUGCAGUAAUGGCUGGAGCUGAUAGUUGCCACAUACAGGCAAUCAAGGGAAAUGACAACGCUUCUUGAAUGACCCAGUCUUUGUUUGCGUUUGCUUUUCUGCUUUUGUUUUUUGUUUUUGUUUUUGUUUUUGUUUUUGUUUCAUGUUUUGUUCUUUAUAGGCAGCCACCGUCAUUUCCAAUGAAUCCUUACUGGUCCCAAGUCACUGCUAACACUGACCAAGUUUUUGUCUCUCCAAAGUCUAUUAUCUUUUCUAAAGAGCAAGCAGUUUGGGAGCUGUCCUGCUUUUAUUUACAGUGUUAGGGACCAUGAACAGUCCAAGUAGAGAAUACCAAUCAUAGGUGACUGAAUUCACAGCAGCGGCUGGGAGGAAUCCAGUAACCACGAGAAAAUACAUAAGGUCAACAACAUUCAGGUUCUCUCUACCAGCUCCAAGGGCCUGAGGUCUGCUUCAGCUGCAUAUGUGCUCUCUCUCUCUCUCUCUCUCUCUCUCUCUCUCACACACACACACACACACACACACACACACACACACACACACACACUCACACGGUGCAUCUCGAGGUGCUCAUAUACUUUUAUCCACCAGGAGUUAUACCACCUGCCAAAUCAUACCUCAUCUUCCAACCUUGUCACCCUAAAGCGAAAAGGAUUUGUAUUUUCACUCCAGCCCAUAACUGGUAGAACCUUAUCCCAUUUCUGCUUCUCUUUACAUUCAUUCUG
rnacentral:lncRNA from 1 species